rnacentral:other from 1 species
UAUACCCUGCUGUGUGCGUGUAAACUGGCUUAGUAAAGAGCCAACACUCUAAUAUAGGGAGUCCGGUCUCUGUUUGCUGCAUAUAUGCCCUUUAUAAGGGAAAUAUAAUGCAUUCAGGAGGACACCCACCUGGGAAGCCGGGUCUCUAUUUACGGUCAGCAAACACGGCAUGGUGGGGUUUGU